GGGGAGGAACUGCUCAGUUAGGACCCAGAGGGAACCAUGGAAGCCCCAGCACAGCUUCCCUUCCUCCUGCUGCUCUGGCUCCCAGAUACCACCGGAGAAACAGUGUUGACGCAGUCUCCAGCCACCUUGUAUUUGUCUCCAGGGGAAAGAGCCACCCUCUCCUGCAGGGCCAGUCAGAGUGUUGGCAGCUACUUAGCCUGGUACCAGCAGAAACCUGGGCAGGCUCCCAGGCUCCUCAUCUGUGGUGCAUCCAGCAGGGCCGCUGGCAUCCCAGCCAGGUUCAGUGGCAGCGGGUCUGGGACAGACUUCACUCUCACCAUCAGCAGCCUGGAGCCUGAAGAUUUUGCAGUUUAUUUCUGUCUGCAGCGAGAAACUGGCCUCACACAGCGAUUCAACCUGAAACAAAAACCUCAACAAAACCAUCAGUGUUUACUAGAUUAUACCAGCUGCUUCCUUUACUGACAGCUAGUGUGGUGGACACUCAGUUUUAG